GUUUAUAUAGUUUAAAAUAAAACAUUACAUUUUCAUUGUAAAAUCAGGAACCUUUCCUUAUAAAUA
rnacentral:tRNA from 1 species